rnacentral:rRNA from 1 species
AGUGAACGCUAGCGGUAGGCCUAACACAUGCAAGUCGAACGGCAGCACAGUAAGAGCUUGCUCUUACGGGUGGCGAGUGGCGGACGGGUGAGGAAUACAUCGGAAUCUACUUUUUCGUGGGGGAUAACGUAGGGAAACUUACGCUAAUACCGCAUACGACCUACGGGUGAAAGCAGGGGAUCUUCGGACCUUGCGCGAUUGAAUGAGCCGAUAUCGGAUUAGCUAGUUGGCGGGGUAAAGGCCCACCAAGGCGACGAUCCGUAGCUGGUCUGAGAGGAUGAUCAGCCACACUGGAACUGAGACACGGUCCAGACUCCUACGGGAGGCAGCAGUGGGGAAUAUUGGACAAUGGGCGCAAGCCUGAUCCAGCCAUACCGCGUGGGUGAAGAAGGCCUUCGGGUUGUAAAGCCCUUUUGUUGGGAAAGAAAAGCAGCAGGUUAAUACCCCGCUGUUCUGACGGUACCCAAAGAAUAAGCACCGGCUAACUUCGUG